rnacentral:rRNA from 1 species
AUUGAACGCUGGCGGCAUGCCUUACACAUGCAAGUCGAACGGCAGCACGGGGCAACCUGGUGGCGAGUGGCGAACGGGUGAGUAAUGCAUCGGAACGUACCUUUCAGUGGGGGAUAACGUAGCGAAAGUUACGCUAAUACCGCAUAUUCUGUGAGCAGGAAAGCAGGGGAUCGCAAGACCUUGCGCUGAUUGAGCGGCCGAUGUCAGAUUAGCUAGUUGGUGAGGUAAAGGCUCACCAAGGCGACGAUCUGUAGCGGGCCUUAGAGGUUGAUCAGCCAAAAUGGAACUGGGACACGGUCCAAGAUCCUAAGGGAGGCAGCAGUGGGGAAUUUUGCACAAUGGGGGCAACCCUGAUCCAGCCAUGCCGCGUGAGUGAAGAAGGCCUUCGGGUUGUAAAGCUCUUUCGGCCGGGAAGAAAUCGCACGGGCUAAUACCCUGUGUGGAUGACGGUACCGGAAUAAGAAGCACCGGCUAACUACGUGCCAGCCGCCGCAGUAACAC